GAUGAACGCUGGCGGCGUGCCUAAUACAUGCAAGUCGAGCGAACAGACGAGGAGCUUGCUCCUUUGACGUUAGCGGCGGACGGGUGAGUAACACGUAGGUAACCUACCUAUAAGACUGGGAUAACUUCGGGAAACCGGAGCUAAUACCGGAUAAUAUUUCGAACCGCAUGGUUCGAUAGUGAAAGAUGGCUUUGCUAUCACUUAUAGAUGGACCUGCGCCGUAUUAGCUAGUUGGUAAGGUAACGGCUUACCAAGGCAACGAUACGUAGCCGACCUGAGAGGGUGAUCGGCCACACUGGAACUGAGACACGGUCCAGACUCCUACGGGAGGCAGCAGUAGGGAAUCUGCCGCAAUGGGCGAAAGCCUGACGGAGCAACGCCGCGGGAGUGAUGAAGGUCUGCGGAUCGUAAAACUCUGUUAUUAGGGAAGAACAAACGUGUAAGUAACUGUGCACGUCUGGACGGUACCUAAUCAGAAAGCCACGGCGAACUACGU
rnacentral:rRNA from 1 species